rnacentral:SRP_RNA from 1 species
AGUCGGGUCCUCCGCAAUGGACGCUUGUGAACCCGGUCAGGUCCGGAAGGAAGCAGCCGUAAGCAAGUUAGUUCAUGUGCCGGGGGAGUGCCUGACUCGA